rnacentral:lncRNA from 1 species
AUCUUGAUUGAUUGUGGGGGAUCAGUCAGAGUGGUGGGAAAAAGUACAGGGAAAGGAGGCAAAUCUUCUGAAAGGUCGGAAGGUUCUUCAGAGCCCCAGGGGAGAAUAGCGGAAGGCAGCUGUUACAAUAUUUUUAUAAAUACUGUUGCUGUUGAGUUGAUAACUGUUUCCCCAUGAUGAAAUCCUAACUUUAAAAUCGCCUUGAACUUGGAAAUCCCCAGCAGGCACCAAUUACUUACUGUGCAGUCACUUCACUUUCGUUUUCUAGGGUUCCCUUGCAAUCCGCUGCAGAGUUCCUCACAUUGGGCACCAUCUGCCAGGUCUGUCCAGCAGACCUUGACGAAUGGAUGAAAUGAGUACUCAGACACAGGUAUGCCGUUUAAGAGCAGCUAGGGCUAGGUGACUGACCCACUCUAGUGGCCAGAGAGCAGCCCUGAGAAGCUGGAGCUGCUUGCUUUCAUCCAAUGCAGGCACACUGCUGAAAACCUGGAGCCAACCAACCUGUAGAGGGAGGCAUUGCAGAGAGAGCCCUUUCAAAGCACACAGGAAGUGGCUGAAGUCAAUAAAGAAACAGAAGAACAAUUUGAAUGAAGAUGGAUCAAAAAGAAGACAGACAUUUCUUAAAAGCCAUCUUUAAAUAAAAUUUUACAAGCUCCCUAGUAAAUAUCUCAAGACAAAAUUGGAUGACUACACAUUUAGCAUGUUAUCAUGAUGAUUUGAAAAUAUGUAUGUGUACACAUAUAUGUAAUAUGUAUACACAAAAUGUAUAACAUAUUUCAUAUGAUAAUAAAUAUAAAUGUAAAUAUAAAUUUGACUUAAGAAGGGAAUAUAUGUUGAUAAAACUGAAGUAAGCUUAGCUCAUCAGCUUAAAUGUUGUUACUGUCUUUGUUGCCAUAGAAUAAACACUUAAAGAUAAAUAACAACUUAGCUUUAAGUUUGGAGCAUUUUUUUUUUUUUGACCCUGGGAUUAUUGACUGGAGAGAUUAAUAUGUAUUUACCUUAUUUCUUUUGUAAAAUUUAAGUUAUUUUUAAACAGUUAUUUUAUUUACACAUAAUGUCAAGCUGAC